rnacentral:rRNA from 1 species
AAUAGAUACCCAGGUAGUCCACGCCGUAAACGUUGGGCGCUAGAUGUGGGGACCAUUCCACGGUUUCCGUGUCGCAGCUAACGCAUUAAGCGCCCCGCCUGGGGAGUACGGCCGCAAGGCUAAAACUCAAAGGAAUUGACGGGGGCCCGCACAAGCGGCGGAGCAUGCGGAUUAAUUCGAUGCAACGCGAAGAACCUUACCAAGGCUUGACAUAUACGAGAACGCUCUAGAAAUAGAGAACUCUUUGGACACUCGUAUACAGGUGGUGCAUGGUUGUCGUCAGCUCGUGUCGUGAGAUGUUGGGUUAAGUCCCGCAACGAGCGCAACCCUCGUUCUAUGUUGCCAGCGGUUCGGCCGGGAACUCAUAGGAGACUGCCGGGGUCAACUCGGAGGAAGGUGGGGAUGACGUCAAAUCAUCAUGCCCCUUAUGUCUUGGGCUUCACGCAUACUACAAUGGCCGGUACAAAGGGCUGCAAUACCGCAAGGUGGAGCGAAUCCCAAAAAGCCGGUCUCAGUUCGGAUUGAGGU